rnacentral:rRNA from 1 species
UACGGAGGAUCCAAGCGUUAUCCGGAUUUAUUGGGUUUAAAGGGUGCGUAGGUGGCCUAUUAAGUCAGGGGUGAAAGACGGUAGCUUAACUAUCGCAGUGCCUUUGAUACUGAUGGGCUUGAAUACAGUUGAAGUGGGCGGAAUGUGACAAGUAGCGGUGAAAUGCAUAGAUAUGUCACAGAACACCGAUUGCGAAGGCAGCUCACUAAAGUGUGAUUGACACUGAGGCACGAAAGCGUUGGGGAUCAAACAGG